GUAAAACUGUUGUUCAAACGUCCACAUAAUUCUUUGACUAUGAACUGUUCUGAAUAAUGCUAACAAUGCUUUUAAUUAUACUAGUGCUGAUCCACCCGUCCCAGCAACCCAUUCAUGACGUGUGCAUAGGUUUGCUCAGUGGAGAGAAUCAGCAGAUGCCUGAUCACCCACUGAAGGUCCCUGUGGGCACAUGGAUCCCUCAGAGACAUGAUACCUCUGGAUUUGAUCUCAACCAUUUUUGUCAAGUUAUCGUAUCCCUGUUCUUUUUGAGUUUUAAUGUACUUUGAUUUUGCUUGUUGUUGUGUAUUACAUGCAGAGAAAUUUUAGACAUUUUUGCUUUCAAGUGAUUAUAGGUCAGAGGCAGACAGAAAAUGUGGGGAGAAGGGUGGAGGGAGCUGGAUUCAAACCAGAGACAUACGCCCUGUUUCCACUGAGCAGUAUGGUACAGUUCAGUUUGUUACGUUGUUUUUCAGUUUCCACUGUGAAAAGUUGUGGAUGGUACCAAUGGAACUGUUCUGUACCGUCCCCAUUUUUGGUCCCCCCUCUGUUGGGGUACCUAGCACACAGAUCUGGUACUAAAAGGUGGAGCUGUGAACACUGCAGUCUGUUGAUUGGUCAAUAGAGGACGGUCACUCUGCGUGCAAUCCUGUUCCGUGAUUGAGAAAUGAGGUGCAGACUUUCCUCUGUGUCACCGGAAAUACAGUGAGCACUGGAUGGAGCAGUGAGUUGCAGUAACAUGAAAGAGUACUGUUUGCAGUUGAAACUCUAGGGUCUAGGUACCAUGUCUGAAGGGAUACUUUGGUUCCAAAGAUACUAUACGGAAAGUGUUUGGUGGAAACGGGGCUAUAGUGGUUUUUAUGGUGCAUGUCUAACCCACCAGUGUACUAUGAUCUCGCAGAGACUUUUUGUUUUUCACAAUUAAACAUGUUUUGCAUAAAUGUGUGUGAUAUGGUAUACUGUCCAAUACACCUCAAUAAAGUUUCGUUUUGUGAAUGCCA